rnacentral:miRNA from 1 species
AACCUCAUCAGCCGGAAGGGAUUCCUUCUGGUUGAUGAGGUAUAAGAGCCUCAUUGGCCGGAAGGGAUUCCUUCUGGUUGAUGAGGUAUAAGAGCCUCAUUGGCCGGAAGGAAUCCCUUCUGGCUGGUGAGGUU